AGAAGUAAAAGUCGUAACAAGGUUUCCGUAGGUGAACCUGCGGAAGGAUCAUUAUUGUAUAACCGAGGUGCGAGGGCUGUCGCUGACCCGAAAGGUCGUGCACGCCCGAGUGCCCUCACACACAUCCAUCUCACCCCUAUGUGCACCACCCCGUGGGUCCCCCUUUGGCUUGUUCGGAGGGGGGCUUACGUUUUCACACAAACUUUGUAUGCAGUGUAGAAUGUAUUUUUUGUUUUUGCGAUCACGCAAUCAAUACAACUUUCAACAACGGAUCUCUUGGCUCUC
rnacentral:misc_RNA from 1 species